rnacentral:rRNA from 1 species
UACGUAGGUGGCAAGCGUUAUCCGGAUUUAUUGGGUGUAAAGGGCGUGUAGGCGGGAGCGCAAGUCAGAUGUGAAAACUCAGGGCUCAACCCUGAGCCUGCAUUUGAAACUGUGUUUCUUGAGUGCUGGAGAGGCAAUCGGAAUUCCGUGUGUAGCGGUGAAAUGCGUAGAUAUACGGAGGAACACCAGUGGCGAAGGCGGAUUGCUGGACAGUAACUGACGCUGAGGCGCGAAAGCGUGGGGAGCAAACAGG